rnacentral:tRNA from 1 species
GGAGUUGUGGCUUAGUGGGUAAAGCCACCGCCUGCAGUGGCAGCAUCCCAUAUGGGCGCCAGUUCAAAUCUCGACUACUCCA